GGUCAGAUGGCAGAGCGGUUUAAUGCAACGGUCUUGAAAACCGUCGAGGGCUUACGUCCUCCGUGAGUUCGAAUCUCACUCUGACCGCCA
rnacentral:tRNA from 1 species